rnacentral:rRNA from 1 species
UAAGGAAUAUUGGUCAAUGGGCGGAAGCCUGAACCAGCCAUGCCGCGUGCAGGAUGACUGCCCUAUGGGUUGUAAACUGCUUUUGUCCAGGAAUAAACCUAGAUACGUGUAUCUAGCUGAAUGUACUGGAAGAAUAAGGAUCGGCUAACUCCGUGCCAGCAGCCGCGGUAAUACGGAGGAUCCGAGCGUUAUCCGGAUUUAUUGGGUUUAAAGGGUGCGUAGGCGGCCUAUUAAGUCAGGGGUGAAAUACGGUGGCUCAACCAUCGCAGUGCCUUUGAUACUGAUGGGCUUGAAUCCAUUUGAAGUGGGCGGAAUAAGACAAGUAGCGGUGAAAUGCAUAGAUAUGUCUUAGAACUCCGAUUGCAAAGGCAGCUCACUAAGCUGGUAUUGACGCUGAUGCACGAAAGCGUGGGGAUCGAACAGGAUUAGAUACCCUGGUAGUCCACGCCCUAAACGAUGAUAACUCGAUGUUGGCGAUAGACAGCCAGCGUCCAAGCGAAAGCGUUAAGUUAUCCACCUGGGGAGUACGCCCGCAAGGGUGAAACUCAAAGGAAUUGACGGGGUCAUAGCUGUUU